rnacentral:rRNA from 1 species
UACAGAGACCUCAAGCGUUAUCCGGAAUUAUUGGGCGUAAAGCGUUCCGACAGGCGGCUGUAUAAGUCAGAAGUGAAAUCUCCGAGCUCAACUCGGAAUCUGUCUUUUGAAACUAUACAACUAGAGGGGCAAAGAGGAAGCUGGAACAAUCGGUGUAGUAGUGAAAUGCGUUGAUAUCGAUUGGAACACCAAUAGCGUAGGCAAGCUUCUGGGUGCCACCUGACACUGCUAGGACGAAAGCGUGGGUAGCGAAUGGG